rnacentral:rRNA from 1 species
CACGUAGGGCGCAAGCGUUGUCCGGAAUUAUUGGGCGUAAAGGGCUCGUAGGCGGCCAACUAAGUCAGACGUGAAAUCCCUCGGCUUAACCGGGGAACUGCGUCUGAUACUGGAUGGCUUGAGUUUGGGAGAGGGAUGCGGAAUUCCAGGUGUAGCGGUGAAAUGCGUAGAUAUCUGGAGGAACACCGGUGGCGAAGGCGGCAUCCUGGACCAACACUGACGCUGAGUGAGCGAAAGCCAGGGGAGCAAACGGGG